rnacentral:lncRNA from 1 species
AAAAUGCUAACGAAUUCUUAAGUGUAAACAGAAAUAUGUGAACAAGAUUCCAUUACUGGAAGGCAGACAAAAAUUGUUGGAGAUUACAUUUGAAUAAGGAUGAAAAUUUGUCCCUUGGAAUAGCAUGUAUUGCUCUGCAUUCCAUAACACUUUCUGUGUUUGAAUCAAGAAUUUAAAGGACAAUACUGUUUAAUCUACCUAUUCAGCUGAAAGCAGAAGUCAAUAUAGUCCACUGUAUUUAUUUACAGAUAGAUGGAAUCACGGUCUUUCAUAUCAGAAAGCUCUAAACAUCUACUUCUAAGCACACAUAGGUAGUUGCGAUGUUUAAAAUAAUAGUAAAAUAGAAAAUGGAAUGGAAAAUAGAAUCUCAAUGUGCUUUUCUGUCCAGCUUUUUUUAAUGGGACAUUUAUCCUAUUAAGGUAAUUUUUUAUCCUUCAACUUUUCAUUGGAGUGGGUUGUGGUAUUUUUAAAACUUUAUCUCUCUCCCUCUCCAUCUUUCUCUUUUUUUUCUUUAAAACAACAAAAAAUGAUUAACUACUUAUUUGUGCUUAGCAUUCUCAGCAGAAAAAUGUUCUGUUAGCAUUUUGCAGAAUGAUUGCAACAAAUGUGUUCAAGGGAAUAUGAGUAAAUGAUGAUAGUCCACAGGCACAAGUGAUGCUGUAUUUAAGCUUCAAACACUGGAGUGCAUCACUGAUAACUGAGAUGUAUAGCUAUAUUGACAUAUACACAGAGAUUUACUGUGAUGCUCUUGCAGAUUGUUUUCAAAUGCAUCUCAGCUUCUUCAGGAAAUCAAAUGUAGUUGCUGCUCAAAAGAAGAGUAAAAAGUCUCCAUACCAUUUGUAUUGCAUAUGAAGCAAAGCCAUUAUGAAAACUUCAUUAAUAUGUAAAUUGCAACAUUUUGAUUAGCACUUGCAGACCUCUUUUGUUAAGAAAAGAGACGGAAAGAUUUAACCAGAUUGCAAUAAUUUACAUAAUAACUCAGUGGUGGCAAUGCCACCGAAAGCGAACCUAAGGAAGGCUAUAUCUUUUUUAAUAGCUUAAUGCUUUAUUAAAACACAUAGUACAAAAGAAAGGAAAAUAUUUUUCUUGAAACUGACAAAUUCUUAUUUGGCUGGUAGUAGGAUAAAUUAAUGAUGUGCUGGUGCUUAUUUUAAAAUAAUCAAACAUAUAUUUACUUGGCAAAGGAAUAAAAACUAUUUGGGGUCAUUGUACAGUGGACUGAAAUUAUGUGAAGAGUAGCUUUUGUAAUUUAUUUCUAUUCAUUUUUCCCUACAGUGAUUUUGAAAUGUGCCAGAUCCUAUUAUUCUGGAAAGCAAUGGAGGUUUGUCCACUUAUUUCAAGGAACUCGAGUCUUAUGUCUGUAGUUUUGAUUUUCAAACCGAUUGAUUUUUAAUUUUUCUCAAACUGCAUUGGAACAUGCAUUUCUCUCACUCAAAGAAAGGAUCAGAUCACAGCAUCAUUACUGUACAAGAUGACAUCUGGAUUUGUAAGUUCUGAUAUGUGCAUCGCAUAGAAUCAGAGAAUCACAGAAUUGUAGUAUCACAUACCAGAUGGUGAGAUCUAUCCAUAGGAUUUAUAAGUAUACUAGAUUUGGAGUUGCUUGAGCAAUAUCACAAACGUAGGUUGUUAUGGUUUUCCUUAUUGUUAAUACUAAAGUAUUCAGAACAAUAAGAUAAUGAAGUCUAUCUAAGUAUCAGCAUUUUGCUUCUGCUACUGGUCAUUUGAAAUAUAUUUCUGUAUUUGGUUACCAUAAAGGGAGCCCAUUACCAGUCAGGUUUUCCCAGCAUUUUCAGCCACUAUCAAGAGACAAUGGAGUAUCUACAGCUGACUUACUUAGUGGCAACAUAGAAGAUAGUAGUAGCAGGAAAAAAAAAAGAAAGAAAAUAAUACAUUUUUAUAUAUUCACCAAAAUUCUGAGACCUCAACGCAAUACAGGAAAAAGAAGAGAAAAAAAAAGGUAUUUGAAAUGCAAAUUUCAACAGCUCUGCUCGGUGCUACUUGAAAAUAUAUUACAAGCAUCAUACUAGAUUUAUCCGAAGAAGUAACUGUGAUCUUUUAAAAUUAGUGUUCUUCGUGACAUAUUCUGCUUGUUACACUUCCAUAGGUGGUUGGUUUUUUUUUAUUUGUUUUUUUUUCUUUUUUUCCAGCUGGUUUCUAUAGAAAAGGCUUCAUUAUGAUGUAACUAAAACCAAUAUUGAUCUAUGAGUUAAUAAUAACAAUAUAGAUUUUUGCCAUUAAAAGGAUAUUUUAUCACAUUGGGAAAAGAGUUUAUAUGAAGUUAUGUGCCCACAAGGAACUUCAGAAUAGCAAUGAAUGAAUCUGUAGAGAUUUUUUUUUUUUACAUGACUUUGUUAAGCCCUUAAAACAUUUAUAGAGAUUUUAAUGUUUUUGAGCUCAUUGUAAAAACACAAAACUUUGGCAAACUUUUUUCAAAAGUAUUGAGGAUACAGUAAAAAAUAUCCCAAAUAAGUGGACAUUCUUAUAAGAAUGACUGGGCUUUCAGCUGGUGACUAUCAGCCUUACUCCCCUGAAUUUGAUAAGCAUAUGCCGCCUGUCUGGUGUUGCAGGCCUUUACAGUGUGGAGUCUUCCACAAAAGCAUAAGCCUAGCUCUAAAUUAUGAACCAUUUUUUGAGUUGAUGAGAUAACGCUAAUAAGCAAUAGGUAAAGAUCUGGCAGACAAGAUGCAUGUGAGUCAUGAAUGUGAAAAAAAACCUAAACAAUAGAACUACUAGGUAUUAUCUGUCAUUUAAGACCAGUAUGUACUGACUAGCCCAUGGGUGUCCAAUGUUUUGGCUUGCCUGGGUUGCAUUAAGUGAAGAGGAAUAAUCUUGGUCAAUAUAUAUAAUAUAAAAUAUAGUUAAUUUAUAUAAGUAACAAAACUUAUUAUUUUAAUAUUUUAUUUUGUUAAAGCAUAACCAAAAGAGCAAUGGAAACAUAAGAGUAGUGAGAUAUUUGACCUUGUUUUUGUGAAACUGUGCAUCAGUCUGUUUUGAUGGAAGGGGUUGAAAAUCUUAGUGAGUUAUCAAGGUAUUUGCCAGAGAUUUUUUGAUUAAAUUUACCAAUACUUUAUCCAUAAAUAUAUGUGAACACAUAUGUACAUACUGCUGUCGUGUUUUUAUAAUUUUUUGUUAUUGGUAUUCCACAUCAUAACAUCAUGUAGUGUACUGGGAGUUAAAGAGUUAAUGCUCCAGUUCUGGGCACCUGUCCAGAAGAGAAGAACUACAUUCCCCAGAACACUUUGCAUUCAGAGAGGAGAUAUAACCCCUGCCAUAGUCACAACACCUUCCCUUUUUUGGCUCUCCUCCCUGCUGCUUGUCCUGACCGCGCACAUUGCCACAGCACUAGUGCAAGGCCUACAGCUUUUGGACACUCUUUCUCUCAUUAUAUUUGAUUUAUAUGCUUAAAUUCUAAUUAUAUUGUUUUAUAGUGUGUUAUCUUGCAUUCCGAUACCAUAUUUAGUAAAUUAGUUUGUUUCUCCUCAGAUCAUUUCCACUGUUAUUAAUUAUUCGGGGUCCCCUGUUUCCCCAUUCCAGAGGUGCAGAUCUGCGGAUCCCUCUGCAAUGAAAAGUGAAAAAACAGUGAGAAAAAGGGCUAAAAUGACCAUUUUGGGCUCUUGGUGGUUUAGGGGUGUUUUUAGGGUUUUUUUGUGCUCUUUUUGCUGUUUUUUUUUUGCCCCAGAUGAUCCCUCCUAACUGUGCUUAGGGUCACCUGGGUGCUUUAGUGAUCACUAGUCAAGAGACAGGGCCAAACCAUCCCAUAAAACAUUGACAGCUGCCAAGAAGCAAUGGUAUGAAUAAGAAGUGAUUGUGAAGUGAAAAAUAUUUUUAUCUGAUAAGGUAGGUUUGAUAAAGUGUAAUGAAGAGACAUAUUCUUUGAAUUGAAUAUCUGACUGCAGCUCUACACAUUCCCUUUGAAAAUCUACAGGUAAUUCAUUUAUAUCAACUGAAAAUGGAGUUGCAAAUUUACCAUGCAGCCCACGGGUUGGACACGACUGGACUAGCCUGUAUAUCAUUAUUGUUUGUGUGAUUAUCUCCUAACAAGAUUAGUGGAUACUCUUUACUGGAUAUUUCAAUCACUUUUUUGUUUUUAAGAAUGUUAACUAGUAUAUAGGAUUCCUAGCUACCGUAAAAGUCAUGAGUUGUUACAUGAUAAGCAAUUCUUGAUAACUGGCAUUUGAUUAAUGUGUUUGCAGAAAAAUCAGCGCCAAGUCCCCACUGUAGCUCCCUGAAGAAUGCUUACUGAAAGGUGAAUGGCUGAGACUGAGCAGUAGUUUGUGACACACAGUACCCAGUAUGAUUCUUUCUGAGGUGGGAGUUGAACAGCCCUUUUAGCUUUCCAGACCAGAGUCUCCAGUUUGCCUGAACUGUGCUUUGUUUUUGAGCUCAUUGUAAAGACUCAGAAGGGAAAACACGACAUUUCAGUUAUCCUUUUGCUCCUUCUUUCAGGACCUGCCAGGUGCCUGUUAAGUCUUUGCCAUGAAUCAUUUAUCCUUGAGCUUGUCUGUUUUAUGAGGCCAGCCCAUAGUUGCUGGGGCCACUGUAGUAUCAGGAGACUGGGAACUCCAAAGUGCAGCAGAGCUAAUGAUAUCUUCUUUUCAGCCACAUUCGUACUGGCAAAAUGGAUAUUUUAGAAGCUAUUGUGCUACUGUAAAAGCAAAGGGAUAUGGCUUUAAUGAGGGACUGGAAUGAAUCAGACUUGCUAAUCAGGUAUGCUGUCCAUGUUGCCAGUGCUGCUGCUUUAUGAUAGCAUAAACAGUGCUGAUAGCCAUUAUGUGUAUUUAACAGAGGUGUCUGGUUCUGUGCUACCAUUUUCUUUGCAGCAGAGCUAGAACUGUUUUCCAAUGAAUUGUAGAUCAUCUUCCCUUCCAAGGAGUCAGAACAGUUCAGAGAGUCAGUCGGGUGUGUGCAAACUUGACUUCAUUCACGGGAAACUAAACUGUAGGUUCUCUUCCCAAUAAGCACCAAAUGUUUUCCAGAAGUCACUGAAGACGCAGGAAUGCAACACAAUGACUUGUUCGCUACAGCACAAGGCCUCCUGCGCAUGCCAAGUGUCUUAGUUUCAGUUUUGAUGGAAUUGUUUUCUUCAGAGUGUCUGGUGUGCUGCUGCGUUUUUGGUUCUAGGAGAAAAACAGUGCUGAUAACUCACCGAUGUUUAUAGUUGCUGCUAAGCAAUGUUGUACAGAACCAAGUACAUUCACUGCAAGAAGCCCAAGGAGCUGGGAGGGACAUAAUUAGGACAGCUGACUUAAAUUGGCCAUAGGGAUAUUCCAUACCAUAUGACAUCAUGUGGAAGGUGUUUUGAAAGAAUGGGAGUUCAUCUCACUCUCUUCCACUGCUCAAGGGGCUAGCUAAACAUCAGUCGGCAGAUGGUGAGAAAUUGCUUGUGCAUCGUGUGUUACAUAUAUUCAUAUAUAUAUAUAUAUGUAUAUACCAUUUUCCUUUUCUCUAUCUUAUUAAAUAGUUUUAACUCACAAGUUCUACUUUGUUUUUUCCAAUUCUCUUCCCCACCCCACUUGGAGGGUGGGAGUGAGUGAACAACUGUCUGGUGCUCAGCCACCUUCCAGGUUAAACCACAACACCAAGCAUGCCUGUGCCAUUUGAAUAUUUAGAAACCAACAGGAGGUCAUGAAAUGUUCAGAAGAGCUCUUUUAUUGUAUGACAAUCCAUUAGAUUUGUAUGCCUUUAUAUUUACCGUUGAUUAUACAGCCAUCUCUUCAUUCAAGAUCCUUUCUCUUCUUUAACUGCUUUAUCUUUGGUUGUUUUCUACCCUUUCUGUUUUUGUAUUCUAUGACUCUUGAAGAAUUAUACCUCUUUUCUUCCUGUAGAAAUGGCAAUAUACCACCCUUUAUUCUCACAGAAGUUCCAGAAAGGUGCAUCAGACAUCAAUCUGUGCCCCCAAAGGCCAGAACUUUCACUGAAGUCAGGAUAGAACUUCAUUAUCAGCAACUGAAGAAAUCCACUAACCUCAUGACUGCAAUCACAUACACAAUGACCAUAUUAAAAUCAAGAAGAUUAAGUCCCUUUUAUUGAAGACACAGGACAAUAAGUUUCAUUUGGAGGUGUGCCCCUACUACAGAGUCUUCAUAAAUAUGGUCUGGUGAGAACACCGGACUGAGCCAGUCGCUAUUUUGGAGGCUACACCAUGUGUCUUGUAUUCAUUAUAAGCGACACCCUGAUAGGCAACACUUCCCUUGGAGCUAAUUCAGGUCCUAACUCAUGAGCACCACAGAAGACAUCUGCAAAGGACUAUCUGAGGACUCUAUCAUGGUCUGCAUCAGGAACACCCUCUGCUUCAGAUACCAACCAGGGAGGAGCCCUGUCUGCUCACUCGCAGUAUUGUCCCAGAGUCGGAGAAGCAAGAUGUCAUCUACCCCUACAAAACCUUUGUUUGGACAAUGAGCAAACUCAGAAUAAGGAAGUGGCUGGGAAGAAGACACCAGAAAUUAUCCAGCUUUCUCAUUUCAGCAAAGAUUGUUUCUGUGUGUGAUCAUACACACAAUCAUAGGUGCAGCAGCGACAUGUUUCAGUAUUCUGCACGAGACAGACAGAAAGACUGUAGAGGACUUCUUUGACUUGCCUAUAUGAGGUUCUGCAUCAAGAAAGCCAAGAUUUUAGAAUUGCUUUGCUGUAAGCAUCAUGGAUACAUGGAUGUUCAGCCAAAUAGAACAGGCUAUAUCUGGUCUGAUGCACACUCCAAGAUACGCAUGCUUCAAUUGUAAGGGUGUCGUCACUUGCUCAUCUGUUAGUCUGCUCCUAUUGCACCAACCUUCUUAUACUGACAUCAGGUUUGUGCCUGCAGCUGAGCACGCUAUGAAGAUGCGCAAGGAUGCAAGACCUGCUAGCGUCAAAAGACAGGACUCAACAGCAGGAGAAAAACCUGGUCCAGACCCAUCUAUAUUGCCCAUCUGAGCACUGCCAGAGCAGAACUAUGGAGCCAGGCCUGGAUUUUAGCUGAGCUUUGCAGGUGUGUCCAGCACUCAGAGAGCUUCCCUGAAGACAGCAGAGGAGCAAAGUGGUGUGUGGUUCUGCACUGAGAGAAGCUGAAAACAAUAAAAUUAUCUAAUUUGUUCAUUCAAAAAACCACAGUGAACAAAACCAAUCCUUCAGUCAUAAAGGCCUUGGCUGUUGCCUGUAGUGCUCCUAAAUAAGAGGGAGUGUGGAUGCUUAACCCCUGGACAGAAGAAAGAAUGAUCUGUGUCUGUGAUUUCAAUGUUCUCUUAACCUCCCCCACUCUAGGGUGGUGAUUAGGUACUUUAGUAUAUUUGGUAAACACUGUUUUCAGCCGUUCUACCUAAUGAAUAGAGAGAGACAUUGCCAGCCCUUUCCCCUAAUCAUAUGUGGAAGAGUGAAUAGAAGGCAGACAACACCGUGGAGAGGCUGAACGCUGAUACUGAAUGUGAGGAAAACAACACACUUCUCAAAACAGCUGUUUUCUAGACUUAAAAAGCUAUGUAACCAGUACACUCUUCUCUCCUUACUGAAUCUUAAUAAGCAAUAAAAAUCUGUUCUGAAAUCUUUUAAAAUUAGCAAGGUCUUUACAUUUAUUUAAAUGGACUGUGGGACAGGCCCUAAAAAACCCCAACUGCUGCAGAUGCUUAUCUUACUGACCAUUUGAAGACUAUUUUAGCAAUACAGCUACUACAAGCAAAUAAAGCAAAUAUUCAAGAUGCACAAAGUAUUCUAAUGCUGCUGUAUCCAUGUUGUAAGUAUUGUACACACCUUUCUGAGUUUCCCAGUUGUUACCUAGUAUUACCAACGGGUGGGCCAGUCACUAAGGAUCUGUGGUCUAACUCCUACAGUAAAGUUGUGCAGCCCAGAGGCUCUACCUCAGGAAGAGGGCGUACACAGGCUGGAUCUGGUUUAGUGACACAAGGGACUUGACAAGGGAGCAGUGUUCAGAGCCUAUAAGACAUGAAAUCAUUUACUCUCAAAAGAAAAUUUCACAAGUGAUAAAUUUGCUUGUUCUCACACAGAUGUUAUAUGGCAGAAGUCUUCACCAUCCCAGCCACAGAUACAUACCUAAAUGUAGUCCAUUGAAAAUCCAAAAGAUUUUCUUCCGAAUAUAAUCACAGA